rnacentral:rRNA from 1 species
UACGUAGGGUGCAAGCGUUGCCCGGAUUUAUUGGGCGUAAAGGGCGCGUAGGCGGCUCUGCACGUUCGUUGUGAAAUCGCCCGGCUCAACUGGGCGGGGUCAGCGGAUACGGCAGAGCUUGAGCAAGCUAGGGGGCAAUGGAAUUCCACGUGUAGCAGUGAAAUGCGUAGAUAUGUGGAGGAACACCGAUGGCGAAGGCAGCCCCCUGGGUCAAAACUGACGCUCAUGCACGAAAGCGUGGGGAGCAAACAGG